CUUGUCCACUGAGUCCCCAAGUUGACAGAGAGGCCUCGCUCUCCGGAGGAGAAUUUGCUUGACAAUGGCGAUGAUGUUACAUCUUCCUUCUCCGACUGUCUUUACUCCCAACUCCAACUCCAAGUUCCAACGCUCACAUUUCUCUUCCCGCCAAAUCCCACCAACCUCAUCAUUUAUCAUCAUCACUUCAAUUCAAGCUCAACCUCAUCAUUUAUCAUCAUCUUCUUCGAACAUCUUCCAAAACCUUUCUAUCUCCUCCUUUAAUUACCACCAAACCCAGUUCGAUUCGAUCCGUAACAGCUCGGUCUCUCUCCAGUCUCCCUCUUAUUUCUCCUAAUGAUCACUGGGGCACCUGGACUUCGCCAUCGGUACUUUCGGUACCUGGUCGGAGAAGACUAAGAUUGGAAGUACAUUGAGUGGUGCUUUAGUGAGCAUUUUGGUAGGACUUGCAGCAAGUAAUUUGGGGGUUAUCGCGAAUGAAGCUCCGGCAUAUUCUGUUGUUUUGGGGUUUCUGCUCCCAAUGGCCGUUCCAUUGUUGUUGUUUAGAGCAGACUUGCGUCGUGUUAUAAAGUCCACUGGGACACUUCUGUUGGCUUUCUUGCUAGGCUCAGGCUUGCUGAUCGAAGGCCUAGGUCCAUAGUUUUUAGUGGACUACGUGUGAUGGAUCUUAGUGAUAGAGCGAUUACUCUGAGACUAACUUCAUUUGCAAUGUAGUAAGUCCCUUCAAGUCAAUGAUUUGGUUUCUCUAGUUUUUCCCUUGUGGUUCUGUAAUUAGUUCAUUCAUAUUGUAUCAAAUGUUCUUUUAUUUCUUUGCUUUUUUGGGUGCGUUAAAGGUUGAAUCCAGUGCACAAAGCUUCCACUUUUGUGGGGGUCUAGGAGAGGUAAUUAGUAGGUAGCCUUACCCCCAUGUUUUUGGAGGAUGCUGUACAAUAUAGAAAAAGAUUUUACUUGUAUUGUAGUUACCUAUCAGAUAAUUCAUCUAAAUUUGGGAAGAAUGAAGCAAGUUUUAAUUUGAAGGCAACCCUGCAACCAAGCAAACCUGUGUUUCAUGUAUUUGUGGCCAAUAUAUUUCACUCUAUGUAUCUAAAUAUGGGUGGGCUUGGCUUUUUAUUUAUUAAAGGAUUAUAGAGCAAUGUGGUAGUUAUGACUUAUGCUUUGGGAAAUGUUAAGAAUAUCAUUCAAGUAAUCACUCAUAUAGUCAACUUUUCCAUGUGUUGGAUUUUUCUCUACAUACACUGAUUUAGAGUCUUGUUGACAUUAUUUGCCUUUUGCUUUGUUCAUAUUAUAGUUGCAACAACAGUUGGAACAGUGGUGGCAUAUGUGUUGAAAAGGGACUACAACAGGGCAGCUCAUGAGCUUGCCCAUUUUGCCAAAUGUAAUAAUGCAAAUUAUGUUUGGAAAGAUGAUUUUCCUCUGUUCUUAAAGCACCUGAUUCAAGCAGGCCUUGGCUGAAUGUUGUAAGCUUUGACCCCUGUUGUAUUCCUUUUCCCCUGUGUUAAUGAUAUUUCAUUUUCUCUUCAAAAAAAAAAAAAAAAAAAAAAGUGGUGGCAUAUGUGUUGGUACCAAUGCGAUCACUUGGUCAAGAUAGUUGGAAAAUAGCAGCUGCACUCAUGGGCAGACAUAUUGGCGGAGCUGUCAACUAUGUUGCCAUAUCUGAUGCCCUUGGUGUUUCUCCAUCAGUUGUGGCUGCUGGUCUAGCUGCAGAUAAUGUCAUCUGUGCAGUAUAUUUUACGACAUUGUUUGCGUUGGCUUCUAAAAUACCUCCUGAGACUUCAAUGUCAACUAAUGGUGCAAAAAUAUUAUAUGUUGUUGUGG